rnacentral:rRNA from 1 species
UACGUAGGUGGCAAGCGUUGUCCGGAAUUAUUGGGCGUAAAGCGCGCGCAGGUGGUCCUUUAAGUCUGAUGUGAAAGCCCACGGCUCAACCGUGGAGGGUCAUUGGAAACUGGGGGACUUGAGUGCAGGAGAGAAGAGUGGAAUUCCACGUGUAGCGGUGAAAUGCGUAGAGAUGUGGAGGAACACCAGUGGCGAAGGCGACUCUGUGGCCUGUAACGGACACUGAGGCGCGAAAGCGUGGGGAGCAAACAGG